rnacentral:lncRNA from 1 species
GUCAGGAUUGCAAGUCAUAUGCUCUGCAGCUCAGCCUCAUCAGUACAUUAGGGAAAUAAAACUGUCAGCAAGAUCAUCUUUGAACACAAAAAGCAGUGGGAUGGUUAGAAACUCAAAGGAAUGCCCAGGGGCUGAAAACACUGUGCUUAGCAUUAAUUAACUGGGAGAGGGCGAUGACAGGUGCUAUAGAAGUGAACAUUCUUGUUAUUAAUGUUAAUUUUUUUAUAUUAACGGAGGGAAGAAUUCUGGACCUGUUGUUUCAUAAUUAAUUUUCAUGCAAGUUCUGUGUGUCCUAGAUGUCCCCUAAAGAUGCUCUGUGACUGUAUUCCCCAACCAGUUAGCAAAAUGCCUAGAAGUAGGCAUGUUGGCUCCAUGUUGAACACCUGGCAUCCAUUUAGACCCAGCUAGUAUCCAUUACCUAAUCAGCCUUAGGGCACCAGGGAAGCUGGGCUUGGAAGAAGAAAAGACAGUGCCAUGGAAUGUUGCCAAAACAGAGCAGAUGAAGAGCAUCUGGAAGUCGAGGCAGGACUGGGACCAUCCCCAGAGGAGUGUGGAGCCUGGGAAACCAACCCUGCCACCAGCCUUUUCUCUCUCUUCUUUCCCUUUCCACCCAUUUUUAUUCGGGUAAAAACUGGUUCAAAAGAAAAAAGAGACUGUCUUAGAGGCCUUUUUUUUUUUUUGUAUGUAGCCAGAGGGAUGUGGAAGUGCCUGUGUGUGCUAGGAUUGCAUGUCUGUAAGUUCCUUUGCUGUCUAAGACCAUCUGUCUUCUCUUUGACCCCCUGUUUUCCCCACUCCAGCUCUGCACCUUACCCCAUGGUUGAUCCAACCCCAAGGUUCACCUCUUCUGGGGCAGCAGCUCUUUUUUCUUACGUUACUGGUUACUUCACCAGGAAGGGGUGAAGGGGAAAGUUAAAUGAGGUUUCUAGUCUAGAUGAUCCAGUUAUCACAUUGUGAGUAUGUGAUUGAGUAGGAUUAUUAGAGUAUAAAAUCAAAGUAAAUUCCAAGCCAGUUUUCUAAUAGGUUUUGACAUAGGAAUGGCUCUUUCAAGAACUUUGGCAAUUCUAUAGCAAUGUGAUGAGUACAAUCUGGCCCACUGUCCCUUAACCUGGCUGGUUCCAGCUGCCCCUCAGGGCAGUCAUCAGGGAUGACUUUUUCUCUCUUUGCCCUCUGAUUUGUGUUCCUUCUGGUUGUGUUUCCUCCAUUUAUUAGGGGAUCAGUGAUUAGCACCGCAAAAUUAUUUAUCCCUGCAACAUCAAUUGACUUUUAUAAAGAGUAUUUACUUCAAAGAGAUAGUAAGAACAAAUGUGUAAGCUUUCCCCCCAAUACUUCCAAUGCUUAUUCUCGCCUAUACCACCUCAGUGUUUGGGGGAGUAGGCUCAAAAUUUUGCUCAGUUCCUACAUAGUAUAGGCCCCACCAAAUUCAAGUUCACUGCAGGUUAAGUUCUUCCAACAGGCUGAGACCCUAAAGGUUACUCGCAAAGGUCACUCCUUGCUCCUCAGGGCACUGCUACUAUGCUGGCUAUAAAACACAGGUUGGAUUCUGAUGCUUAGAUUGCUAUGGCUCUCUCUUCUGACCAAAAAUUGCAAUGAAUGAAAACACCAAGGACCG